rnacentral:rRNA from 1 species
AUACUGAGGGUGCAAGCGUUAAUCGGAAUUACUGGGCGUAAAGCGCACGUAGGCGGUUUAUUAAGUCAGAUGUGAAAGCCCUGGGCUUAACCUGGGAACUGCAUUUGAGACUGGUAGGCUAGAGUAUGGUAGAGGAUCGUGGAAUUCCGGGUGUAGCGGUGAAAUGCGUAGAUAUCCGGAGGAACAUCAGUGGCGAAGGCGGCUAUCUGGACCAAUACUGACGCUGAGGUGCGAAAGCGUGGGGAGCAAACAGGAUUAGAUACCCCAGUAGUCC